rnacentral:lncRNA from 1 species
CGAUGCUAUUCAAUGAUUCUGUGUGGGCCACUAUGUCACCGCUAUCAGCUAAGCAUGUCUUCCACGAAACAGCAGUUGUGUGAAAUGCACUAUAAGAAAAGAGUCCCUGUGGUCAAAUGUGUGUAAUAUGCUGUAUACUGCACCCACUUCUUGGAGAGUCAGUACAUUGGUUAGUAUGUGAAAGCCUCUGAGAAGUCCUGCGGCAGUACAAGACUUGGAAAUUAAUUUUGACCCAGCGGUGUCCAAAUAUAUUUGAGCAUGGAUAGACAAGAGUGAAAGCAGAGACACCAUAUUCCAACAAUACAGACAAGAGACAAGAAGUGUUUGGGCAAAGGAGGAUGGCAGCAGAGGUGAAGGCUAACCAGGACUUAUUCACAUGGCUGUAUCAGCGUUCCCCGAGUUCGAGAAUGGAGACUGCAUGCUUGAAAAAUGGGCUCAAGUGACACAACCUCACUUCAACCAUAUUCUAAUGGCCAAAGCCAGUCAUGAGGCCAAACCAGAAUAAAUGACAGACUGAACCUCAUAUAGGAGAAGCUGGAAAGUGCAGUGAUCAUCUCUGCAAUUCCACAACAGAAGUAUUCCAUACUGUAUGUUCAUGAAUGCAUUGAAUGUAAUCAGCUUGCCUUGGGUUUUGGCCCAUGCCAUACUGUUAACUCACAGAGAAGUCAAUGAAAAACCUUAGACUUUUUUUUUUUUUGAGACAGAAUCUUGCUCUGUUGCCAGGCUGGAGUGCAGUGGCAUGGUCUCAGCUCACUGCAGUCUCCACCUCCCGGAUUCAAAUGAUUCCCCUGCCUCAGCCUCCUGAAUAGCUGGGAGUACAGGUGUGCACCACCACACCCGGCUAAUUUUUUGUAUUUUAGUAGAGUCGGGAUUUCACCGUGUUGGCCAGGAUGAUCUCGAUCUCCUGACCUCGUGAUCCGCCUGCAUCAGCCUCCCCAAAUCCUGGGAUUACAGGUGUGAGCUACCGCACCCAGACACAACCUUAAGACUUUUAAUGAUGAACUAUUGUCAACUAAAUUCAUAUUACACUUGUAUUUAUGCAGCUGAUUAGAACCAAAUUGCAACCCUUCGUAUUCAAUUUCAUCUCCAUUGCUUCAGCCAGCUUUGAUCCCUUCAUAUCUCCUCUUGUAGCAAUCUUUUGAUUCCUGUUUAAAUCAAUUGCCAUAUUCCGAAUAACUUCUUCAUGUAUUUUCUUAUCAUAGUUGAUGUAAGAAAUAAAUUGAUAUCGUAUUGGUUCUAUCAACAAUUUAAGGACAGGGAUAACCACAUUUUUUAGACUUCCUGCAUAUCCUAUGGCAGCCAUCACUGUUCUGAGCACAUAGCUGGUCCUCGGUUACCUCACGAAGUUACAUAAGAAUGAAUCAAUACCCAAAACAACACAAUUCCAAUGGGGUAAAUCAGUGGUUCUUGAAUUAUUUUUUUUUUUUCAGUAAAGUUCUUCUUUUUAAGAUAAAAUAUUUUAUGAAAGUCCAACAUGAAAGGCAGAUAAACAUAAGAAGACAUUUCUGAAAUUCUUUCUACUUAACUUUUUCCAUCCUUAUCUCCCAUAAGAUAUCUGAGGCCUCCUCAGAUGCCAUGGAAUAAAAUUUGAAAAACACUGGAUGAAAUCAACAUUUUUCAAACUUUUCAAACUUAACCCUCAGUAAGAAAUGCAUUUUACAUAGUGACCCAGGAGACACUGACAUAUAGAUAACUGAAACUACUGCUCUCAAGACUACUUCACCCUAAGUACAACAAAAUCUCAUGUUUUCUAUUCUACUCACUUCAUUUUUUGAAGGUCAGCCAUGAACUACUAAAUUGAUUUUAUAAGCCACUAAACAAGCAAUGCCCCAUAGUUGGAAACUAUUAGACUAGAUGAUCUCUUGAAGAAGUCUUUCAAGUUUUAAACUCUAUUGGCCUAUGGUUCUACAGCUUCUGUAUCCUCAAUUUCUAUUGUUUAUUCCCAGGGCAGAGAAGGAGGUGAUGGUCACUUCCAAAAAGAGCGGAAGUUAAGUUCUAGAUAAGCCACAAUCACGCUCCCCAAGUGCAUGAAGACCACAUAAUCUCGUGAGCGUGAAUAAAAU